UCAUGGUCUCAAGCAUGAUUAUUCUUGGCAAUUUUUUUCCAUAGAAAUGCCUUCUUCUGGGCAGUGUCUUUAUGCAUUAUCAAUACUCUUCAGAGAUUACCUGCCUGGUGUCAGGGGUCACAUAACCAGGACUUGGAAAGAGCUACAGAGCUCUUAAAACAAACAACAGGAAUUCUGCAGAUGCUGGAAAUUCAAGCAACAUACAUCAAAGUUGCUGGUGAAUGCAGCAGGCCAAGCAGCAUCUAUAGGAAGAGGCGCAGUCGACGUUUCAGGCCGAGACCCUUCGUCAGGACUAACUGAAGGAAGAUUUCAAAAUAACAGAAAAGGAAAAGGGCUCGAAGCAAAAGUUUGGACACCCUGCAUGGGAUUGUGACUACAAGGAACUUGUCUGUGUGUGCCAUCCACACUUGAUGUCAAGAACACCAUGGGAACCUGUAACGACCUGCACAUAGCUCUGCACGGAAAGAAAGCAGCACGAGGGUACGAGCUCAAUCCAACUAAAUCAACAGUAGUCUUCCUCCACCAUCCAUGACCAAUGAUAAGUGUAUCUCUUUUCAGUGACACUCAGCACUCUGUCUGUUAGAGUACACAUGCCCUUUAAACCUCAAACGGUGCAAUCCACCUUUGAUACUUUCCUAGCUGUAGAUCCACUCCUCUCUGACCCAUACACCAAGGAUCCAGUAUUUAAAGUGACUCGGUCUCACACAAUCACAAAAGGCCGUGCUUCGGAAAAAAAACAGAGAGUUCAAGAGAAUACUGACCUGAAGAGCCCACGUUGUGCGCCAUCUAUGGAAAAAUGCAUUACAAGGACAUUUCCUUUUCUCUGAUGCCAGCUAUUAAUUUUGCUUCGGUCACAGAACUUGCUUUAAUCAAAAUCACAAAUCCCUUGAGAUAAAUAUCUGCAAAAUAUAUCCUCUGGAUUUACAUGUGUUUGCACAGUUUGUUCUCAUUCUGCAGUGAGUCUGUUGAAGCUCUACACGGCAUCAGCUCAUCUGCCUUUUAUAGAAGCUUAACAUUAUCUAAGGACUUAGACAUGAUGUCAGAUAGCAAGAGGUUGUUACUUUAAAUAUUUGAACUUAGAAAAACCUAAUUAGUACUGGAAAUGUGGCAGCCUACAAUUCAUCCUUCAAACUGUAACAAGGUGUUCCCUUUAUUUUUUCCAUUGUAAAUGUGCACAGAUAUUUGUUCCUAGUUAAAUUUUACUGUAUUAUUUUCUACAGCAAAACAAAUUUUACUUUUACAGCAGUUCUUUGUUUCACCAACAGCAUCCAUGUAUGAACCUAACAGACCAAGGGGGAAAAAACUCUUCUUGGGUUGCAAGAGGUUAUAAAAAUGUCUAAAAAUAUAUGGUCAGAUUGUUAAUUCAAGGUAAGAUGAAAAGGCACUGUUAAUUCUGUCUGACAGAUUGAACAUAAUUAAUUACCCCUGCCUCCCCUCCCUUCUUUGAAAUACAGUAACUCGAUUGGCAGUCUGUGAGCAUGGAGUUAAAAAGAAUUUGUGGACCAGACUUGAAGAAGGGUCUCAGCCCAAACAUCAAUCAUUUAUUCAUUUCCAUGGAUGCUAUCUAACCUGCUGAUUCCUCCAGUAUUUUGUGUGUUGCUUUGGAUUUCCAGCAUCUGCAGAACUUCUUGAGUUUAUAACAGGCUAUUCAGCCCAUCUGAUCUGAUACUGUACAUGAGCCUCCCACUCAUAUCAUUUCAGGCUAUCAACAUAUUCCUUUCCUUCUCACUUGUCUAUCUAGUUUCCUCUUCAUAUUUUUGCCAUAAUUAUUAAGUGUUAUUUGGCUCAAAUACCUUUAAGGGGAAUGAUCUUCCAUUUGCUCACCAGUCUUUGGUUAAAGAAACAUUAAAAGCCAAAGCCUCAAGUUAUAAAAUACAAGCGAAUGUAAAAUGCAAGAAACUCCAAAUCAUUGUCAAUUA